AGAAGCGGAGGGCGAUCUGGCUGCGACAUCUGUCACCCCAUUGAUCGCCAGGGUUGAUUCGGCUGAUCUGGCUGGCUAGGCGGGUGUCCCCUUCCUCCCUCACCGCUCCAUGUGCGUCCCUCCUGAAGCUGCGCACUCGGUGGAAGAGGACGACCAUCCCAGAUAGAAGGAGUGUACCGUUCUUCGGUCAAGGGUAUACGAUAGCUGUGCUCCCCUGCUAGAACCUCCAAACAAGCUAAAGGUAUUCAAUACAGUGUUUUGUCUUCCUCGUAGCCAAGCUAUUUUUGAAGUUUAUUUUUCUAUUAUGAUGUAUUUUUGUUAUUCCAA